CAGUGGGGCCUGUUCGACAGAACAUUUGGGAGAACAGAUGCACAAGAUGCUGACCCAGAGGGAAGGGUACCUGAUUGGAGCAAAGCUUCUGUGCAGGAGAUGAAGGAUAGGUUCGUUGCUGUUGGGUUGGGUCCUCGCCAGGUGACCACUACUCCCUUCACAGUGAUCACAUUUUUCCAUGAAAGAAUGCAAAAACUGUCAUCUAGUGUGAUGCUUAACAGAUAGGUCUCCUUUUGCAGCUUGCUGUGAUGUCAGCCUUCCUCGGACCUGACCAAGCCGCUACCGAGGAACGACUGAUUGCUGAUCCAGAUUGCCGCCCAUGGGUCGAGAAGUACCAAAGGAGUCGUGAAACAGUAUCCCGGACAGACUAUGAAGUAAGCUACUGAUUUUCGUUUGUGCACGAACUGCCAGUGUAUCAGGAGGGUUCAUCUCUCUCUUGAUUGAUGCUAACUUGUGCCUCUGUGUUCUGUAUGACAGGUUGACCUGAUAACCGCACUCACAAAGCUGGGCUCCCUAGGCCAGAAGAUAAAUUAUGAAGCCUACACGUACCCUAAGCAAAAGAUUGACCUGGGCAAAUUGAAACUGUGAGAGAGAUGCUUGCCGGGUAUCUGCAUUGGCCAGACUCUUCUCAUGAUCUGGUGGUUCCGUCUGCUCAAGAGUGACUCAUUCGGCGGUGGUUCUGGUUCAUGUAUUGGCGGUUCAUCAGCUGUCUGACUUCAUUUUCGGACAUUUCUCCAUUGCAAUUAGGACGGUCCGUCUACUAGAUGGUUAGAUUUCGAAUUUC
rnacentral:lncRNA from 1 species